CCUACGGGAGGCAGCAGUGGGGAAUAUUGGACAAUGGGGGGAACCCUGAUCCAGCCAUGCCGCGUGUGUGAAGAAGGCCCUCGGGUUGUAAAGCACUUUCAGCGAGGAAGAACGCCUGGUGGUUAAUACCCAUCAGGAAAGACAUCACUCACAGAAGAAGCACCGGCUAACUCCGUGCCAGCAGCCGCGGUAAUACGGAGGGUGCGAGCGUUAAUCGGAAUUACUGGGCGUAAAGCGCGCGUAGGUGGCUUGAUAAGCCGGUUGUGAAAGCCCCGGGCUCAACCUGGGAACGGCAUCCGGAACUGUCAAGCUAGAGUGCAGGAGAGGAAGGUAGAAUUCCCGGUGUAGCGGUGAAAUGCGUAGAGAUCGGGAGGAAUACCAGUGGCGAAGGCGGCCUUCUGGACUGACACUGACACUGAGGUGCGAAAGCGUGGGUAGCAAACAGGAUUAGAUACCCGAGUAGUC
rnacentral:rRNA from 1 species